UUUUAGGACUGUGUAUUUUAGAAAGAACAUUAGAAAUACUAGCCUGGCCACGAUGGUGAAACCCCGUCUCCACUAAGAACACAAAAACAUUAGUUGGGCGUGGUGGCACGUGCCUGUAGUCCCAGCUACUCAGGAGGCUGAGGCAGAAGAAUCGCAUGAACCCAGGAGGUGGAGGUUGCAGUGAGCCAAGAUUGCACCACUGCAUUCCAGCCUGGGUGACAGAGUGAGACUAUGUCUCAAAAAAAAAAGAAGAAAAGGAAAAGAAAGAAAUAGUAGUUACUCCUUGCAGAUAAGCUGGCAUAGUUUAGAUGCUCAAUAACGCACAGCUGUGAUGUCUCUUGUCCAAUAAUCAUGGGACUGCUCCUGUUGCCAACUUUGCCUGUAGUUCACCAAAGUCAAGUUGCCCAAGGAGAAGCUGGACUUCGCAGAUAGUCAGUGGCAGAGCUGGGUUCAACCCUGGAUCUGGCUGACUUGAAUCCUGUUCACAUUCUUUUCUCCACUCUGCCUUAUUUGCUGUCACAUCUUGGCUGGCAGGCACAGAGUCAAACCUGACAGGGACCGUGAAAAGCCGGGAGUUUUCAGCCUGCUAGGCAAGCGGCAGUGCCAUAGAGGUAAGUCCCUGUGAGCGCUGUCAUUUAUUUCUGUCUACUUUAA
rnacentral:lncRNA from 13 species